rnacentral:rRNA from 1 species
UACGAGAGGCCCAAACGUUAUUCGGAAUUACUGGGCUUAAAGAGUUCGUAGGCGGCAUGACAAGUAGGGUGUGAAAGCCCUCGGCUCAACCGAGGAAUUGCGCUCUAAACUGUCGUGCUAGAGGAACCUAGAGGUGAGCAGAACUGAUGGUGGAGCGGUGAAAUGCGUUGAUAUCAUCAGGAAUACCGGAGGCGAAGGCGGCUCACUGGGAGUUUUCUGACGCUGAGGAA